GGGGAUUUAGCUCAGUGGCUCAAGUGCUUGCCUGGUAAGCAUGAGGUCGUGGGUUCAAUCCCCG
rnacentral:tRNA from 1 species